rnacentral:rRNA from 1 species
GUAAAUGGCUGCAUAAAUCUGAGUGUACUAAGGUAGCGCUAUAAUUUGCCUUUUAAAUGGGGGCUGGUAUGAACGGGUUCACGUGAGAGUUGCUGUGUCAUAAAAAUUUUUUGAAAUUAACCUUUAGGUGAAGAGGCCUAAGUAAAAUUAAAGGACGACAAGACCCUAGAAGCUUUACUAAGGGUAGGUUAAUAUGUUAAUUUAUUUAAGUUUUGUUGGGGCAACAUAGUUAGAAAGUAUAACUUGUUUUUAUAAACUGACAAGUUAAAACCACAUUGGUGAAUAAGAUAAGCUACUCUAGGGAUAACAGCGUUAUUUUUUUUAAUAGUACGUAUUGUAAAAAAAGUUUGCGACCUCGAUGUUGGACUAAGGUGUCCUUAAGGUGUAGAAGUCUUAAAGGGUUGGCCUGUUCGUCCAUUAAAACCUUACA